rnacentral:rRNA from 1 species
UACGUAGGGUGCGAGCGUUAAUCGGAAUUACUGGGCGUAAAGCGUGCGCAGGCGGUUCGUGAUGUCUGAUGUGAAAGCCCCGGGCUCAACCUGGGAAUUGCAUUGGAAACUAGCGGGCUGGAGUGUGGCAGAGGGGGGUGGAAUUCCACGUGUAGCAGUGAAUGCGUAGAGAUGUGGAGGAACACCGAUGGCGAAGGCAGCCCCCUGGGCUAACACUGACGCUCAUGCACGAAGCGUGGGAGCAACAGG